rnacentral:rRNA from 1 species
AGUGAACGCUGGCGGUAGGCCUAACACAUGCAAGUCGAACGGCAGCACAGUAAGAGCUUGCUCUUACGGGUGGCGAGUGGCGGACGGGCGAGGAAUACAUCGGAAUCUACUUUUUCGUGGGGGAUAACGUAGGGAAACUUACGCUAAUACCGCAUACGACCUACGGGUGAAAGCAGGGGAUCUUCGGACCUUGCGCGAUUGAAUGAGCCGAUGUCGGAUUAGCUAGUUGGCGGGGUAAAGGCCCACCAAGGCGACGAUCCGUAGCUGGUCUGAGAGGAUGAUCAGCCACACUGGAACUGAGACACGGUCCAGACUCCUACGGGAGGCAGCAGUGGGGAAUAUUGGACAAUGGGCGCAAGCCUGAUCCAGCCAUACCGCGAGGGUGAAGAAGGCCUUCGGGUUGUAAAGCCCUUUUGUUGGGAAAGAAAAGCAGCAGGUUAAUACCCCGCUGUUCUGACGGUACCCAAAGAAUAAGCACCGGCUAACUUCGUG